UACAGAGGAUGCAAGCGUUAUCCGGAAUGAUUGGGCGUAAAGCGUCUGUAGGUGGCUUUUUAAGUCCGCCGUCAAAUCCCAGGGCUCAACUCUGGACAGGCGGUGGAAACUACCAAGCUUGAGUACGGUAGGGCAGAGGGAAUUUCCGGUGGAGCGUGAAAUGCGUAGAGAUCGGAAAGAACACCAACGGCGAAAGCACUCUGCUGGCCGACACUGACACUGAGAGACGAAAGCUAGGGAGCGAAUGGG
rnacentral:rRNA from 1 species